rfam:Lupinus angustifolius cultivar Tanjil contig_29847, whole genome shotgun sequence.
ACCAAUUCCGGGGGAUAUUAUGUUCCUCCUGGAUAAUGGCUCGGACGCUAUAUUUAGAUGUGGUCAUCCUGAUUUAUGGUUUCUUUACAAUACCAUUUGGUCUUGGAAACGCCACCAACAUUC